ACCUGAAGGGUAGCUCCAAGGCAGAGCAUCUGCUUUGCAUGCAGAAAGACCUGGUUCCAAUCCCCAGAAGCAUCUUUAGGUA